UACAGAGGUCUCAAGCGUUGUUCGGAUUCAUUGGGCGUAAAGGGUGCGUAGGCGGCGCGGUAAGUCGGGUGUGAAAUCUCGGGGCUUAACUCCGAAACUGCAUUCGAUACUGCCGUGCUUGAGGACUGGAGAGGAGACUGGAAUUUACGGUGUAGCGGUGAAAUGCGUAGAUAUGCGGAGGAACACCGAUGGCGAAGGCAAUCCCCUGGGCCUGCACUGGACGCUCAUGCACGAAAGCGUGGGGAGCAAACAGG
rnacentral:rRNA from 1 species